GGGGAAACCCAGUGCAAUCCGUUGCACUAUCGUUAACUGAAUACAUAGGUUAACGAGGCGAACCGGGGGAACUGAAACAUCUAAGUACCCCGAGGAAAAGAAAUCAACCGAGAUUCCCCCAGUAGCGGCGAGCGAACGGGGAGCAGCCCGGAGUCUGAAUCAGCUUGUGUGUUAGUGGAACGGUCUGGAAAGUCCGACGGUACAGGGUGAUAGUCCCGUACACGAAAGCACACUUGCUGUGAACUCGAAGAGUAGGGCGGGACACGUGGUAUCCUGUCUGAAUAUGGGGGGACCAUCCUCCAAGGCUAAAUACUCCUGACUGACCGAUAGUGAACCAGUACCGUGAGGGAAAGGCGAAAAGAACCCCGGCGAGGGGAGUGAAAAAGAACCUGAAACCGUGUACGUACAAGCAGUGGGAGCCUCUUUAUGGGGUGACUGCGUACCUUUUGUAUAAUGGGUCAGCGACUUAUAUUCUGUAGCAAGGUUAACCGUAUAGGGGAGCCGAAGGGAAACCGAGUCUUAACUGGGCGUUAAGUUGCAGGGUAUAGACCCGAAACCCGGUGAUCUAGCCAUGGGCAGGUUGAAGGUUGGGUAACACUAACUGGAGGACCGAACCGACUAAUGUUGAAAAAUUAGCGGAUGACCUGUGGCUGGGGGUGAAAGGCCAAUCAAACCGGGAGAUAGCUGGUUCUCCCCGAAAGCUAUUUAGGUAGCGCCUCGUGAACUCAUCUUCGGGGGUAGAGCACUGUUUCGGCUAGGGGGCCAUCCCGGCUUACCAACCCGAUGCAAACUACGAAUACCGAAGAAUGUUAUCACGGGAGACACACGGCGGGUGCUAACGUCCGUCGUGAAGAGGGAAACAACCCAGACCGCCAGCUAAGGUCCCAAAGUCAUGGUUAAGUGGGAAACGAUGUGGGAAGGCACAGACAGCCAGGAUGUUGGCUUAGAAGCAGCCAUCAUUUAAAGAAAGCGUAAUAGCUCACUGGUCGAGUCGGCCUGCGCGGAAGAUGUAACGGGGCUAAACCAUGCACCGAAGCUGCGGCAGCGACACUAUGUGUUGUUGGGUAGGGGAGCGUUCUGUAAGCCGUUGAAGGUGUGCUGUGAGGCAUGCUGGAGGUAUCAGAAGUGCGAAUGCUGACAUAAGUAACGAUAAAGCGGGUGAAAAGCCCGCUCGCCGGAAGACCAAGGGUUCCUGUCCAACGUUAAUCGGGGCAGGGUGAGUCGACCCCUAAGGCGAGGCCGAAAGGCGUAGUCGAUGGGAAACAGGUUAAUAUUCCUGUACUUGGUGUUACUGCGAAGGGGGGACGGAGAAGGCUAUGUCAGCCGGGCGACGGUUGUCCCGGUUUAAGCAUGUAGGCGGAGGUUCCAGGUAAAUCCGGUACCUUUUAACGCUGAGGUGUGAUGACGAGGCACUACGGUGCUGAAGUGAUAAAUGCCCUGCUUCCAGGAAAAGCCUCUAAGCAUCAGGUAACACGAAAUCGUACCCCAAACCGACACAGGUGGUCAGGUAGAGAAUACCAAGGCGCUUGAGAGAACUCGGGUGAAGGAACUAGGCAAAAUGGUGCCGUAACUUCGGGAGAAGGCACGCUGAUGUGUAGGUGAAGCCCCUGCGGGUGGAGCUGAAAUCAGUCGAAGAUACCAGCUGGCUGCAACUGUUUAUUAAAAACACAGCACUGUGCAAACACGAAAGUGGACGUAUACGGUGUGACGCCUGCCCGGUGCCGGAAGGUUAAUUGAUGGGGUUAGCGGCAACGCGAAGCUCUUGAUCGAAGCCCCGGUAAACGGCGGCCGUAACUAUAACGGUCCUAAGGUAGCGAAAUUCCUUGUCGGGUAAGUUCCGACCUGCACGAAUGGCGUAAUGAUGGCCAGGCUGUCUCCACCCGAGACUCAGUGAAAUUGAACUCGCUGUGAAGAUGCAGUGUACCCGCGGCAAGACGGAAAGACCCCGUGAACCUUUACUAUAGCUUGACACUGAACACUGGUCCUUGAUGUGUAGGAUAGGUGGGAGGCUUUGAAGCGUGGACGCCAGUCUGCGUGGAGCCAACCUUGAAAUACCACCCUUUAAUGGCU
rnacentral:rRNA from 2 species